GGAGCUUGCCGCUGACGAGUGGCGAACGGGUGAGUAAUGCGUCGGAACGUGCCGAGUAGUGGGGGAACUAUCCGAAAGGAUAGCUAAUACCGCAUACGCUUUGAGAAGGAAAGCAGGGGAUCGCGACCUUGCGCUAUUCGAGCGGCCGACGUCUGAUUAGCUAGUUGGUGAGGUAAGAGCUCCAAGGCGACGAUCAGUAGCGGGUCUGAGAGGAUGAUCCGCCACACUGGGACUGAGACAGCCCAGACUCCUACGGGAGGCAGCAGUGGGGAAUUUUGGACAAUGGGCGCAAGCCUGACAGCCAUGCCGCGUGUCUGAAGAAGGCCUUCGGGUUGUAAAGGACUUUUGUCAGGGAGAAUCCCUAGCGCUAAUAUCGCUGGGGGAUGACAGUACCUGAAGAAUAAGCACCGGCUAUACGUGCCAGCAGCCGCGGUAAUACGUAGGGUGCAAGCGUUAAUCGGAAUUACUGGGCAAAGCGUGCGCAGGCGGUUGUGUAAGUCUGAUGUGAAAGCCCCGGGCUUAACCUGGGAUGCAUUGGAGACUGCACGGCUAGAGUGCGUCAGAGGGGGGUAGAAUUCCGCGUGUAGCUGAAAUGCGUAGAGAUGCGGAGGAAUACCGAUGGCGAAGGCAGCCCCCUGGGAUGACA
rnacentral:rRNA from 1 species